UACGGAGGAUCCGAGCGUUAUCCGGAUUUAUUGGGUUUAAAGGGUGCGUAGGCGGAUGGUUAAGUCAGUGGUGAAAUUUUUGCGCUUAACGUAAACAUUGCCGUUGAAACUGGUCAUCUAGAGUGCAAAUGAGGUAGGCGGAAUGUGUUGUGUAGCGGUGAAAUGCAUAGAUAUAACACAGAACCCCGAUUGCGAAGGCAGCUUACUGGGAUGCAACUGACGCUGAAGCACGAAAGCGUGGGGAU
rnacentral:rRNA from 1 species